CCUACGGGUGGCUGCAGUGGGGGAUAUUGCACAAUGGGGGGAACCCUGAUGCAGCGACGCCGCGUGGGGGAAGAAGCGCCUCGGCGCGUAAAGCCCUGUCAGCAGGGAAGAAAAUGACGGUACCUGAAGAAGAAGCCCCGGCUAACUACGUGGCAGCAGCCGCGGUAAUGAGUAGGGGGCAAGCGUUAUCCGGAUUUACUGGGUGUAAAGGGGGCGCAGACGGCGAUGCAAGCCAGGAGUGAAAGCCCGGGGCCCAACCCCGGGACUGCCGUUGGAACUGCGUGGCUGGAGUGCAGGAGGGGCAGGCGGAAUUCGUGGUGUAGCGGUGAAAUGCGGAGAUAUCGGGAGGAACACCGGUGGCGAAGGCGGCCUGCUGGACUGCCACUGACGUUGAGGCACGAAAGCGUGGGGAGCGAACAGGAUUAGAUACCCUGGUAGUC
rnacentral:rRNA from 1 species